GCAGUGGUGGUUCAGUGGUAGAGUUCCUGCCCUCCUUGCGGGAGACCGGGGUUCAAUUCCUGGCCAGUGUA
rnacentral:tRNA from 1 species